ACCUUGAUUUCUGUUGCUAAUCUCGUGUUAGUUCAAAAACCGAUUCAAAUUCAAAUUUAGAAAUAUGGCAAACAACAAAAGUUUUCAAAAGGUCAAAACUAAAAUGUUCUUAUUCUGACAAAUAAUUCACAAGAUAUAUUGGUGGAGAAAACAAGUUUUUAUAAAAUGUUUAAAUGCACUAAACUAAUUAAAUUAGUAGCUAUAACCAAAAAUCAAAUGCUUUUUGUAAUAUAUAAAAUAUUAAACUAAUUUAUUUGGGAGCCCAAGUUAUUGUGGCAUUAGCAUAAGUAGUAACACUAUUUUAGGAACAAAUUAUAUAUUUUAUAAAACUUUAGUAAAUAGAAAAUAAAAUAAAAUAGUAAAGAGAAAAUAAAUAAAAGAAUAACAAACCAAAAAGAAGAAGACAAAAGCCCCGCCUCCCAUGGGCCUCGGCCCACCAGGGCACCGCCUAGGUCGGCCCACCCGCCUACAACUAACCCCCCACAACCCGAACCCUAACCGCAUCCCCCCCGCACUCCCCCCACGUCCUGGAUCGAGGCGGCGCCCCUGCGCUCGCUGCGCCCCGACCCCGACGACCGCGCCCCAUCGACUGCCGCUCGAGGGCCCCCUCGACUCGCCGGACCGCUUCGCCAUCGCCGGAGCACUUCCCCGCUAGACUGCAUCCCCUGCGUCACGCCGUCUCCGCCCUCCUCCUUGCCCCCAUUGCCCCUGACCCUACGACCCCGGUGAGGCCAUGGCCUCCACUCCCUCCUCUCUGUCCCCCUCGAGCGCCCUGCAGCCACCGUGACCGCACCCCGUUCACCCCUGCUCGACCCAGCGCGCGCCCACGCGCUCCCGUGCUAACCCACGCGCGCGACCCGCGCCAUCCAGCCAAGAGCCAGCCGUGUCCCGCGCCACCAUACGCGCUCGCGCCGGACGCGCCCCACGACGCCCCCUGCUCGCGCGCGUGGUCGAUGCGCUACUGCACUGCCGCCGCCGUGCCCUGAUUCCCCUGCUCGCCGCGCCCAUGGCCCCGCUGUCGCCGCCCACAUCCCGCCUUCGGUCGCCCUGCUGUGCGCCGGCAGCCAUGACCCCCUGCACCGCGCUAGCCGCCUCCCCUGCAUCUCACUGCCUCGCCCGCGCCACGCAGCCGCGCCGCCAACUUCUGCCCCGUCACGCUGUGGCCGCGCCGGUUCCGCCCUCCGCUGCCGCGGCACGACCGCACGCCCAUGCCCCACUCCACUUCUGCCGCUGCUGCUGCUCAUCCGCCAACCCGCCGCCAGACACACUCACCGGCGCGCCGGCGCUCGCGCCCGCCAACCACCACGCGGCGCCCAGGCGGGUGCGCACCCAUGGCCCAGCGCCCGACGCCCAGCGCCCGUUUGGCUCCUCUAGGCCACUGACAGGAGGGCCCCGCCUCCAGAAUGUUUCCAUAAAAAAGUUUUAGAUAAAUACAUAAAUAAGUAAAAUAAAUAAAUAUAAUAAUAAUAAUAAUAUAUUAAAUAAAUAAUUAAUUAAAUUAAUUAAUCCUAAUUAAUUAAUCUAAUUAACUUGUUAGUUUAGUUAAACAAUAAUUAGUUAGUUAAACUCUAAUUAGACUAAACAGUCAAUGACGAACGGGACCCACACGUCAGUUGACCAGUCAACGCCUCUGUUGACUGCUGACGUCAUGCUGACGUCAGCGUGCACUGUUCUGGAUAAUGUUGAUUAAAUUAAUUAAAUAAAUCUAAAAAUUGAUUUAAAUCUUUUAAAAUUAAUAUAAAAUAAAUCGUAGCUUGGAUGAAAAACUUUGUACAUGAGAGUUGCUCAGAACGAUGAGACGAAUCUGGAUACGCAACCCGUUAGUCCGCCACGCAUCCCUAGCAUAGCAAACACGCAACUUUCCCCCUCCGGUUCAUCUGUCCAAAAACGCAAAACACCGGGAAUACUUUCCUGGAUGUUUUCCCCCUCCAUCUGUACCACCUCGUACUGCGUUAGGGCUCACCUAGCUUUACGCUUUGUCAUGUCAUGCAUCAUCAUGCAUUUGUUUGCAUUAUAUUUAUUGUUUCUUCCCCCUCUUCUCUUGCUAGACACGGAGACCGACGCCGCUGCUACCCAGUAUGACUAUGGUGUUGACGACCCCUCUCUCUUGCCAGAGCAACUAGGCAAGCCCCCCCCUUGAUCACUAGAUAUCGCCUACUCUACUCUCUAUACUGCUUGCAUUAGAGUAGUGUAGCAUGUUACUGCUUUCCGUUAAUCGUAUCCUGAUGCAUAGCCUGUCCUUGCUACUACUGUUGUUACCUUUACCUGCAAUCCUAAUGCUUAGUAUAGGAUGCUAGUUUAUCAUCAGUGGCCAUACUUUCUUGUCCAUCUGCCAUGCUAUACUAUCGGGCCGUGAUCACUCGGGAGGUGAUCACGGGUAUAUACAUAUAUACAUAAUAUAUCAUACUUGUGGUGACUAAAGACGGGUCGGCUCAUAGGAGUACCCACGAGUGAUUCACGGAUUGGGUCCGAAAGGAUGUUUGUCCCGACGGCCCUCUGAGUGCAUCUUUGUGGCAAAGCGACAGGGCAGGUUGAGACCACCUAGGAGAGAUGUGGGCCUGGCCCUGGUCGGUGUUCGCGGUUAUUUCAAAAUAACACGUUUAACGAGAUCUUGGCAUUUGAUCUGAGUCUGGCUACUGGCCUAUACGCACUAACCAUCUACGCGGGGACAGUUAUGGGCACUCGACGUCGUGGUAUCAGCCGAAGCCUUCGUGACGUCAGCGACUGAGCGGCGCACGCCGGGUUGGACUGGAACGCCUACUCUUGUAUAAGGGAGGCUAGGUCUGCUCACCGGCCGCGUACGCAACGUGAAGGUGUGCAAUGGGCGAUGGCCCAGACCCCUGCGCCAUAGGAUUUAGACCGGUGUGCUGACCUCUCGGUUGUUCCUAGGUAGGGCUGCGACGUGUUGAUCUUCCGAGGCCGGGCAUGACCCAGAAAAGUGUGUCCAUCCAAAUGGGGUCGAGCGUGUUGGGUUAUGUGGUGCACCCCUGCAGGGAAGUUAAUCCAUUCGAAUAGCCGUGAUCUUCGGUAACAGGACGACUUGGAGUUGUACCAUGACCUUAUGAAAACUAGAACCAGAUACUUAAUAAAAUACACCCUUCCAAGUGCCAGAUACAACCGGUGAUCGCUCUCUCACAGGGCGACGAGGGGAGGAUCAUCGGUUAGGAUUAUGCUAUGUGAUGUUACUUGGUGAACUUACCUUCUACUCUCUUCUCCUGCUGCAAGAUGGAGGUUACCAGAAGCGUAGUCUUUGAAAGGCCUAGCUAUCCCCCUCUUAUUCUGGCAUUCUACAGUUCAGUCCACAUAUGAUACCCUUAAUCCAUUUGAUACGAAUGCAUACAUAUGUAGUGUAGCUCCUUGCUUGCGAGUACUUUGGAUGAGUACUCAUGGUUGCUUUACUCCCCCCUUUUCCCCUUCCUAUACCCGAUUGCUGCGACCAGACGUUGGAGCCCAGGAGCCAGACGCCACCGUCGACGACGACUACUACUACUCGGGAGGUGCCUACUACUACGUGCAGCCCGCUGCCGACGACCAAGAGUAGUUUAGGAGGAUCCCAGGCAGGAGGCCUGCGCCUCUUUCGAUCUGUAUCCUAGUUUGUGCUAGCCUUCUUAAGGCAAACUUGUUUAACUUAUGUCUGUACUCAGAUAUUGUUGCUUCCGCUGACUCGUCUAUGAUCGAGCUCUUGUAUUCGAGCCUUCGAGGCCCCUGGCUUGUAAUAUGAUGCUUGUAUGACUUAUUUUAUUUGUAGAGUUGUGUUGUGAUAUCUUCCUGUGAGUCCCUGAUCUUGAUCGUACAUGUUUGCGUGUAUGAUUAGUGUACGAUUGAAUCGGGGGCGUCACAAGUUUCUAUCAGAGCCGACUGCCUGUAGGAAUCCCCCUUCCACACUCCUUGGCCGAAUUCGAGUCUAGACAUUGCAAAAACUUUUUACUAACAUGGCUGUGUGUCUUACGGGCCCACGUCGCCAUUGGGUGGUAUUAGGAUCUUUUAUUCCCCAACCUAUACUCUAGGACUCUGAGCUCUCUUCUAUUCGGGUUAAAUGAUUUUGCUAAAAACAAAACUAACUUUAGGUUCUCGAAGGUACUUUCUCCUGGAGAGCCCCUCCCCUCAGAUGAUCGCCUGCUUCACUAGAAGAUUCCGAAGUUACUCUAUGAUGUUCUCUCGAGUCUUUGUGCCAUCGCAUUUGCGAUUUCCUUCCAUCUUCAACCCCUAUGAAAACUGCAUACACUUGCCAUUCAGACAAUCAUUCCCAGUUGGUCUUGUUAUUACAAGAUACCCCGGAAUACUCGUCGUUGUUUCGAUAAUCCUUUGAGCUUACUGCCUUGCUAUUCUUUGUCACCUGAAUACCCCUACGGAUAAUUCUCGCACUUAUCGAGUAUCGGCUCAUCCCCGAGUCGUUCAUGUGUUUCACAAUGGUCAUCGAAAUACUAUUCGAUCCUCCAAAAAUCCUUAGUAGCUUAUUGCUCUGCAAUACUUGUCUGCUUGCAUGAUGGAUGCUUUCCAUAUGUCUGGCAAUAUUCGUUAGUAUCCUUAGGCACCGUCAUUUUGAUCCCUUUGAUUCGAAUGAGUGCGAAUGCACGCAAUCAUCAGUUGAUCCUUUUAAAUUAUCUUUCCGGCUCAGACGUCAUUUUAAACAUGAGCUAGUUCUCAACCAAUCCAAUUGCCCUCGAUUGUAUCCCUAAGGCUAUUCAACUUAUCCAUCCCUAAUCAGAACAUAGCUUCUUAUACCUUGAUUUGAAAAUCAUAAUUCCUUUGUAUUUGAGCUCUAGAUUAGUCAGUUGUUUCCAUAAUCCAAUGCCUUUGCAUUGUUACUUCCUCUGAUUGUGUGCCGAUGCUCAUGUUAGCUCUGUUAUGGACCGGCAGACCCUUUAAUGGAUUUUAUCCGACAGCAUCCUUCAUAUUCAAUAACCUUGUGAGCCUUCCCUCGGAUACAUAAUGCAUUUGGUAAACUGUAUCAUCUACUUUCUCAACCUUGCUCUACUUUCGAGCUUGUGAUAUUUACUCUUGAAACUUGUGGUAUAUGUUUCUAAGAAGCACCUAUGGGUUGAACAUAUGCCUUCUCUAAACUGUGUGAACUCAAAAGUUUUCACGAGUCAUACACUUCUGGUAUUUUGCCAGAUAAAAUUUCAACACUACAAUAUGAUAGGUUAUGCAUUGGAGAAGUGGGAGUCGACCUUGAACUUUGUGCUCAUGCCCAUGGACACGAUGUAGCUCUUAUCAUUAAAGCUUCUCUUAAAUUAAUUAUUCCUUUGGUAUAAGUUCAUCUUAUAUCUGGGAUCUGUCCUUUUGCAAUCGUGGUUCCGACCAUGUUCUCCUUUAAAUACCAUUUCGCGUGCAAGUUUAAGUGCUUGUCUUCUGUAGAGCAAUACCCCAGUCCAACCUCUACUUUGAUCUGUCAUCGAGUAUUACCCCCUCUGGUAUCUCGAGAUUAUCACGGAACUGCAUAACUUCUUAUGAGUUCUUCUUCAAGUAUUAUUUGACUUUUGUUGCAUCAUCAUUUGACUUGAUGUCAUCGCCGACCGAAUACAUCUUCAUGAAAUCUCUCAACAAAUGUGUCAUGUUCAUCAUCAACAUCCUGAGCUCUUCCAAGAUAUAUAUCGAAUUCUUGAUGAGAAAUACCAUCCUCGCCCCUCAAUGGUUUGUGUUAUCACCGACCACUUUAUUGCCUUCCGUUCAACACAAACUUAUUCGUGUUUUGUGCUAUACAUUGAGAUCCUUGCUAUCCAGCCUAUGUUAUGAUCUACCUUGGAGUAUUACAAUCUUAUAUGUCAAGGAUGUCGUGAGAAUUUCACCACCUCUUGAGAAUUCUUGAUACAAGUAAUACUUAUCACCAUCACCAUUCCUCCCUUGGUCCUUGUGUUGUUUCUAACCGGAAUACCGACAAAUGGUCAGUGAUGUGAAAAUUCAAAACUUCUAGCAACCCUAUUGCUUAAUGGUCGAUAGCUCCAUUCUAAGUCUAUUUCUUAUUGAAUCAUCAUUCGAACAUUGAUCGUGCUACUUAGUCCAGAUUUCCGGGUGCACCUUUCUAUCAUUGUUCAAUUGUGUAUGUUGUCAUCGAACAUACAUCAUUAUAUCAUUUGAUCUGACUAAUGUUAUCUCCUUGUUCACAUAAUUGUGGAAAUCAUCUUUUGUUAAUCUUGAUGAAUUGUCGCUGAGUCCAUCAACCACCACCUCGUCAUUCCCUUGGAUUAAUGAUGAACUCUUGUUCCAGAACUCGCUUCCAUAGUUCAUUUCCCGAGGGUCUUGCAAUGUCAUCUCAUCAAUUGGUGUCGCACCUUUUUCUUCUCAAGCAUCUUGAGUUCGACCUUGAUUGAAGACCAUGUCAAUGCUAUUUUGAAGCAUGUCUAUGGUAUUCUGAUUUUCAACAAGAACAUUUGAAGCCCAAUGCUAAAUGUUUCUUGCUCAAUUAUCCCAACACCUUUGCCUGGGUGAUGUCAGGAAAUUUCUCUCCCCUUACCAAAAGGGUUUUCUACAUUAUAUCCUGUCAUGGAUAUCUUGUUCUGCUUGUCCUUGGGAAGGAUAUACCCCUGAAAUAUGUGUUUAAACACAUUUUCCUUUCCAUUCUUCUGUUUAAUAUAAUAAUCAUAUUUUCCUUUCCAUUGUUUUGUUUAACCUUCUUGUAAUCUGACUUACCUGAGCAGUAGUAAUUCCCUGCGUAUGCAAACACCUCGGUGUACCAUCAUGUCUCGUGUAACCCUGAUACUAUUGUUGAUGACAUUUCAGUAACCACCGAUGGAUGAGAACUUUGCCUAUUGGUCCGCCUCGUUCAACAAGCAGGAAGAUGGUUCUCUUCGUCCCUCGCCCUUGGUACCGACGUUGUUGCCGACAUAACCGACAGGCUGUCCGUUGACAUGUCUUGCCUACAUUGUCAUACAAGACGUCACCGCCCUUCCUACCAUUAACUCACAUGGUGGGCCCAUAACCCACAGGUCCCAUGAUCGAAACCUGACUCUUCGGUACACCCACUGUUUCCAAAGUUAUUCCUCACGCGUGGCCUCGUAGGCAAUUCACGAGCCACCCUUCUAGAGAUGGUCUAUUCUGGUAUCAGACACAAUACUUAUUCCCAUCGAUUUGAACCCUUUCACACGCUGUUACAGGCAAUGAACGAUUGCCUAUCCGCUUGAAAUUUCUUAUUGCACCUUCUUACCUUGCUCUCGAUGACUUUCUGCAAUUUCAACUCGAGAGAUGCCUUUAUACCUCAUUCACUGCAAUAGCCCCAUGUACCUAACAUGUGUUGAGCUCCGUCCUUCCCGAGUCUCCCCCCUUAUCUUUUCCAUAAGUACGAUGAAGAUCCCGGAGAAAGGAUGUCGGCUACAUCAUGAUGAAAGAAAGCGAAGAAUUGAAGACACCAAUGAAAGUGAUUAACUUCGUCGAGAAGAUCCGUUAGGAUAUCGUAACCAGACCUUUCCCCCUUACUCUACCUCUUAAAUCUCGGGACGAGAUUUCUUGUAGUGGAGGAGAAUUGUGAUGCCCGGAUAUUUAAGCUACAGUGAACCUCUGCUAAUGAUGCCACGUCACCUCGACUUCUGUUGCUAAUCUCGUGUUAGUUCCAAAACCGAUUCAAAUUCAAAUUUAGAAAUAUGGCAAACAACAAAAGUUUUGAAAAGGUCAAAACUAAAAUGUUCUUAUUCUGACAAAUAAUUCACAAGAUAUAUUGGUGGAGAAAACAAGUUUUUAUAAAAUGUUUAAAUGCACUAAACUAAUUAAAUUAGUAGCUAUAACCAAAAAUCAAAUGCUUUUUGUAAUAUAUAAAAUAUUAAACUAAUUUAUUUGGGAGCCCAAGUUAUUGUGGCAUUAGCAUAAGUAGUAACACUAUUUUAGGAACAAAUUAUAUAUUUUAUAAAACUUUAGUAAAUAGAAAAUAAAAUAAAACAAUAAAGAGAAAAUAGAUAAAA
rnacentral:lncRNA from 1 species